rnacentral:lncRNA from 11 species
GCCCUGGCAGUUCAAGGGGUGCUGAAAGGGCCUUUCGUGAGCAGUGUGGAUGUAACCCUUGAGGGCUCAUUGCGGCGCAGGGUUCCCAAUUGUCUCUCUCGCUCUGUCCUCUCCAAAAAAAGAAAGCCUUCCCUUCCUCCUCCUGGGUGCGAGGCUGGCGGGGAAUGCCUCCAGAGCGCAGGAAGAGGCGAGGAGCAGCAGGGGGAGAGCGUGGCGCGGCUGCGGGGGGAAAGAGCGGCGCGGGUGGGAUCCCCGGACUCUGCUCCUGCCGCCGGUGAGGAGAGAGCGGCUCCCCUGCCUCCUCCUCCUCCUCCUCCUCCUCUUCUUCCUCCUCCUCCGAGGCGAGUGACCCACAGCUGCAGCAACCUCCGCCAGAGAAGCAGCAGGCACCGCAGCCUCCGCCGGACGAGCAUCCCUUCUUCGUUGGCUUCUCCGGCGCUCUCUCUCCUUCUCUCUCCCUCUCUCCCUCCGGCUCAGAACCUGAACAUCCCUGUAUGAAUUUCAGUCAACCUUUCAGUUAUAAGUUCAUGGUAAGUUUUCAUCUAUUUAAACUUGUGUCAUGGUUCAUUAAUUAAAUUCAGUUAUUAUUUAUCCAUGAAACCAUUUGGAAAAUAUUUGAGACUCUCUGUCCUAUCUAAAUUAUUCUAAGUAAAAGCCUCCUGGCUUUUUGGAGUCAUGGCACAUGCUGAUUUCAUCCCUUCAACCAAGAGGUACACUUUGUACCAACUUUUACAUAUUUUGUCACCUAGGAAAAACUUGUAUCUAGGGCAUUAGUUUACUUUGC